GCCUGGCUGGCUCAGUCAGUAGAGAAUGAGACUCUUAAUCUCAGGGUUGUGAGUUCAAGCCACACAUUGGGUA
rnacentral:tRNA from 1 species